UACGUAGGGCGCAAGCGUUAUCCGGAAUUAUUGGGCGUAAAGAGCUCGUAGGCGGUUUGUCGCGUCUGCCGUGAAAGUCCGGGGCUCAACUCCGGAUCUGCGGUGGGUACGGGCAGACUAGAGUGAUGUAGGGGAGACUGGAAUUCCUGGUGUAGCGGUGAAAUGCGCAGAUAUCAGGAGGAACACCGGUGGCGAAGGCGGAUCUCUGGGCCGUAACUGACGCUGAGGAGCGAAAGCAUGGGGAGCGAACAG
rnacentral:rRNA from 1 species